CCAAUUGUUAACUAUAUGCAAUUUACCCUAAAUAUUUAGUAAGUAGACGACAUCAAAGCAAGCAAGCACAAUAUCUAUCUACGAUUUCACUAUACUUUACGUUUUAGGUACACCCAAGAACGGGAUGUAAGAAGCAGGGAUUGAUGAGGGAUUUAUCUUCGAUCUUUCUCCAAAAUGUCUUCUUCCGAAGACGACUUCGUAUGAUAGUACCUUGCAAGACAAGAGAAGUGAAAUUAUUAGUUAAUAUGACGUAAAAGAUAAGCUAAUAAAGGUACAUGUGUUUUGAAAUGGUUUUUGUUUUAAAAUAUUUUUUGGAAAAUUGCUCUAGAAAAUAAUUUGAAAAAUGUUUUUGUAUUUGAAAGAUUGUUUGAAAAAGUAUUUUUUGGGAAAGAUUGUUUAUUGAAAUUAGUUUUGGAAAAUAGUUUUAAAAAUAAUAUAGGAGGCUCAAAUAUGUAUUUUUCGAUAUCCAUCUUAGACAUGAGAACUGGAACCGCCUCGGUAGUGACUCCGGUUGCUAAUCGUGUCGCCCUCCAUAGGUUUUAUGGGUUCAUCGCAUCCUCAUCUUUUAUUCUCCGAUAUUUAUUAUCAUCGCCUCGUUAUUUCGGGACCAAUCUGAGGGUCAUUCGAGGUGUCGGGCCUCAAAAUAAUUAUUCUCACCGGCCUAUGUAUAAUAUUUAUUUAAUAACAGUAUUGAGCCCAAUAUCGAAUACUAGCAAACGACCAACGGGUCAUAAUAAACAAUACAGUCCGGAAAGGAUCAAAGGGUCUCAAAACUUCGAAUCUGUACUCCUUCAACAGAAAGAUUUAAACAAAAUGGUCGAACACAGUUAAAGCCAAUGGGGUAGCAGCACCUUAAGCAAUAGAACCAAUGAUGGAAAUAAGAAAGUCAUCGGUACAAGGCAAGGCAGGAACAGACCAAAACCAUGAACAAAUACUCUAAGAGAGUCAAAUCAUUCACAAGCGUUAGUGCAACUUAAAUUAGCAGAAAACAGUAAUAGGCCAAGCUUGAGCUAAUAUGAACAAAACCAAACAAACUCCCCCAAAAUCGAAAAAGACAACAGGGGUGCCAGACUUUACAGGGAUCGCCAGAAUGAGCGGAAAACAGUGGUUCGUCGCCGGAAAAAUUCAUAUACCAUAUAAUCUAUCAAAAUCGCAAAUCAAAUCAACAAUAACUAAAUGCGGGUCCAAACAGCAUCCUAAGAGGGUCACCGAAAAAUCAAAACUCUAGCCAGAUUUGGACAUUUUCAGUCGGAUCUAAGGGAACACAUAGUCAUCGGGAUUUUGGCGAGUCAUCACCUGAAACGAGACAACGGGGACAAACGACCUGGCUACUAAGUUUCCAACUCAUUGCCGUAGAGGCUUGUCCUUUCUCUACUGAACAUAGCGGCCAUAGCAGUGAAGAAAAAAGUAGGGGUUGCUGAUAUUCAUGGAGUUCUGCCAGAUUUCAUGGUAUUUCCUGUGAGUUUAUGUCUUCCCGUUCACCACUAUUGAGAGUAUGAGGGCGUGAGAGAGGAGAAGAACAGCGAUGAGGCAAUAAAAGGUGCCAGCCAUUGCCGUUGGUGGCCGGCCGGCGGCAAGGCAGCAAAGAAAAAGUGGGGGUCGGUGGUUCCUAUCAAAGGAGAGAGAAAUGAAGAACCAAAUCCCAAAAUAAUAUGAGCCUUAGGGUUUUCAAAAGUCCUUAAAGAGC
rnacentral:lncRNA from 1 species